UCCGUAGGUGAACCUGCGGAAGGAUCAUUGUCGUAACCUGCCAAGGCAGAACAACGUGCGAACCAUUGAUUAAAAGAGCCCGGGCAGCGGUGCAGCGUGCGCAGCGUGCUCCCUCGGGGGUUCCGUGCUGUUGCCAUGCCUGUUGUUAGGGUCUCGUGCCCUGGCUCCAGGCUAACCAAACCCCCGGCACGAGUUGUGCCAAGGAACACAAAUGAAAUGCUUGGGGGGUGCUUCACCCCCUUAGAGUAUUAAACAAAACGACUCUUGACAACGGAUAUCUAGGCUCUUGCAUCGAUGAAGAACGUAGCGAAAUGCGAUACUUGGUGUGAAUUGCAGAAUCCCGUGAACCAUCGAGUUUUUGAACGCAAGUUGCGCCCAAAGCCUUUUGGCCGAGGGCACGCCUGCCUGGGCGUCAUAAUUCGUCACCCCUCCCACCAAGCCCUUGGGCUGGCUGGGUCGGGGUGGAAUCUGGCUUCCGCGUCCCCUAGGCGCGGCUGGCCGAAAUUUGGACGCACCAAGGCAUUGCCUGUAGCGGCCUAGGUGGAUCGAAAGACCCUCUAAGUUUGCCGUGCAGUGCAGUGCCAUUGGUGCCCAUGGCCCCCCUCGCGUUUUCCCUUUGCGGGAAAACACUGUUGCGUGACCCCAGGUCAGGCGGGACUACCCGCUGAGUUUAAGCAUAUCAAUAAGCGGAGGA
rnacentral:rRNA from 1 species